rnacentral:rRNA from 1 species
UACGUAGGGGGCAAGCGUUGUCCGGAUUUAUUGGGCGUAAAGCGCGUGUAGGUGGCCUAGUAGGUCCGCUGUGAAAACUUGAGGCUCAACCUCAAGCUGUCGGUGGAAACCCCUUGGCUAGAGUCCGGAAGAGGAGAGUGGAAUUCCUGGUGUAGCGGUGAAAUGCGCAGAUAUCAGGAAGAACACCGAUGGCGAAGGCGGCUCUCUGGGACGGUACUGACACUGAGACGCGAAAGCGUGGGGAGCGAACAGG